GGAGGAAUACCGGUGGNGAAGGNGGCCCCCUGGACAAAGANUGACGCUCAGGUGCGAAAGCGUGGGGAGCAAACAGGAUUAGAUACCCNNGNUAGUCCACGCNGUNAACGAUGNNGACUUGGAGGUUGUUCCCUUGAGGANNGNNUUCCGGAGCUAACGCGUUAAGUCGACCGCCUGGGGAGUACGGCCGCAAGGUUAAAACUCAAAUGAAUUGACGGGGGCCCGCACAAGCGGUGGAGCAUGUGGUUUAAUUNGAUGCAACGCGAAGAACCUUACCUACUCUUGACAUCCAGAGAACUUAGCAGAGAUGCUUUGGUGCCUUCGGGAACUCUGAGACAGGUGCUGCAUGGCUGUCGUCAGCUCGUGUUGUGAAAUGUUGGGUUAAGUCCCGCAACGAGCGCAACCCUUAUCCUUUGUUGCCAGCGNUUCGGNCGGGAACUCAAAGGAGACUGCCAGUGAUAAACUGGAGGAAGGUGGGGAUGACGUCAAGUCAUCAUGGCCCUUACGAGUAGGGCUACACACGUGCUACAAUGGCAUAUACAAAGAGAAGCGACCUCGCGAGAGCAAGCGGACCUCAUAAAGUAUGUCGUAGUCCGGAUUGGAGUCUGCAACUCGACUCCAUGAAGUCGGAAUCGCUAGUAAUCGUAGAUCAGAAUGCUACGGUGAAUACGUUCCCGGGCCUUGUACACACCGCCCGUCACACCAUGGGAGUGGGUUGCAAAAGAAGUAGGUAGCUUAACC
rnacentral:rRNA from 1 species